ACAGGGGGCUGGAUGGCCGCGGGGCAACUCGAGGAAAGUCCGGACUCCACAAGGCAAUGGUGCCGGGUAACGCCCGGCUGGGGAAACCCAAGGGAUAGCGCCACAGAGAAGAGACUGCCCUGCUUGUCAGGGUGAUGGUGAAACGGUGGAGUAAGAGCCCACCGCGGGACUGGCAACAGAACCGGCAAGGCAAGCCCCACCAGGAGCAAUGCCAAAUAGGGAUCGCGCGCCGUAAGGCAGGGGUGUCUUGCCCCGAGCAGGUCCGGGUUGGCAGCUAGAGGGCAUCUGGCAACAGGUGCUUUAGAUGAAUGGUCAUCCAGAGAGGGCAACCUCUUGGACAGAAUCCGGCUUAUAGGCUCCCUGUGCGU
rnacentral:RNase_P_RNA from 1 species